UACGGAAGGCAGCAGUGGGGAAUAUUGCACAAUGGGCGAAAGCCUGAUGCAGCUAUGCCGCGUGUAUGAAGAAGGCCUUAGGGUUGUAAAGUACUUUCAUCGGGGAGGAAAAAACAAAACUAAUAAUUUUAUUUCUUGACGUUACCCGAAAAAGAAGCACCGGCUAACUCCGUGCCAGCAGCCGCGGUAAUACGGAGGGUGCUAGCGUUAAUCAGAAUUACUGGGCGUAAAGAGCACGUAGGUGGUUUUUUUAAGUCAGAUGUGAAAUUCCCUGGGCUUAACCUAGGAACUGCAUUUUGAAACUGAAAUACUAGAGUAUCGUAGAGGGAGGUAGAAUUCUAGGUGUAGCGGUGAAAUGCGUAGAUAUCUGGAGGAAUACCUGUGGCGAAAGCGGCCUCCUAAACGAAUACUGACACUGAGGUGCGAAAGCGUGGGGAGCGAAACAGGGAUUAGAUACC
rnacentral:rRNA from 1 species